GGAGCCUCUGACACUGGGAAGGCUGUCUGGUGUUUGUUUGUUUGUAUGAAUAUAUUAACUUAACAUUUUGCAGCAAAGAGAGUAGAGGUGUAAGUCAUGUUUUUGAUAUUGUAAAGGUAAAGAUAUACAAGAAGAGAAGGAAUAUUAGACUAGUGGCAGGAAGGGUGUUUGGUGCUUGUGUGUGUGAAUGCAUAAAUUUGACGCCUCCUAGCAAAGAGAGUAGAAUUAUAAGUCAUGUAUUUGGUAUUGUAUUGAUAAAGCUAUACGUGAAGAACAAUUGGCAUCAGUCUGUUUGGUGGUUUUGUUGUACAGAUAAUAUUCUAACACUAGGUAAAGAGAGUAGAGUCCCAAGUCAUGUAUUUGAAGCUGUAAAGGUAAAGUUGGAAGUUAGGAGAGUGUUAUUAUCAGUGUUUGGUGGUUGUAGUUUAUAAAUCCAUUUGAAAGUAACUGUAAAGGUUAAGUUUUAAGAAGAUAAUAAAUGUUAGUAUUAG